AUUGAACGCUGGCGGCAUGCCUUACACAUGCAAGUCGAACGGCAGCACGGACUUCGGUCUGGUGGCGAGUGGCGAACGGGUGAGUAAUGUAUCGGAACGUACCUUUCAGUGGGGGAUAGCGUAGCGAAAGUUACGCUAAUACCGCAUAUUCUGUGAGCAGGAAAGCAGGGGAUCGCAAGACCUUGCGCUGAUUGAGCGGCCGAUAUCAGAUUAGCUAGUUGGUGGGGUAAAGGCCUACCAAGGCUACGAUCUGUAGCGGGUCUGAGAGGAUGAUCCGCCACACUGGAACUGGGACACGGUCCAGACUCCUACGGGAGGCAGCAGUGGGGAAUUUUGGACAAUGGGGGCAACCCUGAUCCAGCCAUGCCGCGUGAGUGAAGAAGGCCUUCGGGUUGUAAAGCUCUUUCGGCCGGGAAGAAAUCGCAUAGGCUAAUACCCUGUGUGGAUGACGGUACCGGAAUAAGAAGUACCGGCUAACUACGUGCCAGCCGCCGCCGUAA
rnacentral:rRNA from 1 species